rnacentral:tRNA from 1 species
CGCGGAGUGGAGCAGUUGGUAGCUCGUUGGGCUCAUAACCCAAAGGUCAUCCGUUCGAGUCGGGUCUCCGCAA